rnacentral:hammerhead_ribozyme from 1 species
GCACUGCUGAGGAGUCCCAUAAUAGAACGAAAUAGCCAUCAAGUGC